UUCCUGAUGUUCAGUUGGAAUCUCCUUUCUUGUAACUUGCAAUUGGUUUGAGUCCUACCCUCCAGAGCAGGAGAAAACAUGCGUGUUCCCCCUUCCAUGUAACAGCGCUUGAGAUAUUUGAAGAUGGCUAUCAUAUCUCCUUCCGAGUCUCCUUUUUUCCAGGCUGAACAUAGCCAGCUCCUUCAAC